AGCCUGCCCAGUGACUCUGUUCAACGGCCGCGGUAUCCUAACCGUGCGAAGGUAGCGUAAUCACUUGUUCUUUAAAUGUGGACUAGUAUGAAUGGCAUCACGAAGGUUAUACUGUCUCCUUUUUCUAAUCAGUGAAACUAAUCUCCCCGUGAAGAAGCGAGGAUAAAACUAUAAGACGAGAAGACCCUAUGGAGCUUUAAACAUUUAUAACACUUGCUAAAUAAAAUACAAAUUUCAGAAUUAUUUAAUCUUUAAGCAACUUGUCUAUAAGUUUUUGGUUGGGGUGACCGCGGAGCAUAAUACAACCUCCAUGUUGAAAGAUCUAUUUCUAAGCUAAGAGCUACACCUCUAAGCAUCAACAUAUUGACAUCCAUUGACCCAAUAUAUUUGAACAACGAACCAAGUUACCCUAGGGAUAACAGCGCAAUCCACUUCAAGAGCUCCUAUCGACAAGUGGGUUUACGACCUCGAUGUUGGAUCAGGGUUUCCCAGUGGUGCAGCCCUACUAAAGGUUCGUUUG
rnacentral:rRNA from 1 species